rnacentral:rRNA from 1 species
AUGCUGAUUGUUGGAAAUGGCACAAAGAGGAUUGCUCUCCUCAAGAAGGCAUUGAGUAAAUCAUUUUCCAUGAAGGAUUUAGGACCAACUAAGCAAAUACUUGGCAUGAAGAUCUCCCGUGAUAUAUCAAAGAAGUUGCUUUGGCUCUCACAGGAAAGAUACAUUGAGAAGGUACUUGAAAGGUUUAAUAUGAAAGAUGCAAAAUCUAUUAUCUCUCCACUUGCAGGCCAUCACAAACUGAAUUCAAAACAAUGUCCUACAAGCAAGAAGGAGAAAGAAGAAAUGAGGAAAGUACCUUACCAAUCUACUUUGGGCAGUUUGAUUUAUGCCAUGGUAUGCACUAGGACUGAUAUUGCCUAUGCAGUUGGAGUUGUUAGCCGGUUCAUGACAAAUCCAGGUAAAGCUCACUCGAAAGAAGUGAAGUGGAUUCUCAGGUAUCUCAAGGGUACUUCUACAUCUUGUUUAUGCUUUGGAAGCGGUGAUCCUGUAUUGCAGGGCUAUACAGAUGCAGAUUAUGCAGGUGACAAGGAUCAUAGGAAGUCCACAUCUGGAUACCUGAUGACUUAUGCAGGGGGAGCAGUGUCAUGGCAAUCAAGAUUGCAGAAAUGUGUUUCUACAUCAACUACAGAAGUUGAGUACAUUGCAGCAGUUGAUGCUGGCAAGGAAUUUUUGUGGAUGAAGAACUUCUUGCAAGAGCUCGGCAUGAAGCAAGAGAAGUAUGUUCUGUUUUGUGACAGUCAGAGUGCUAUUCAUCUUGCCAAGAAUUCAAGCUAUCACUCUCGAACCAAGCACGUUGAUGUGAGGUACCAUUGGAUUCGAGAUGUUGUGAGUCCCAAGUUGCUGAAACUUGAGAAGAUCCAUACCGACGACAAUGGUUCGGACAUGAUGACCAAGAUAUUGCCAAAUGAGAAGCUACAAGCAUGUUGCAAGGUAGCGGGCAUGGCGGUGCCCACCUCAUGA